rnacentral:lncRNA from 1 species
GGUCUCCUGGGAGCCUGGACAGGACCCACAGGGACCUCGCUAGCUGUGGGCAGAGGGCUGUCUUGCAGCAAAUCAAGCAUGAACUAGUCCACCAGAGACCAUCGUGUCUGUGGAACCUCAGAGGUUAUCUUGAAUCCAUGACAGGGAGAUAAUGGAACAUCAUUCAUACAUCACUUUGGUAUGUAUUUAGUAAGUAACCUGCUGUGGGCCAGGCACUGAGCCACACUUUGCAUGUACGGUGAGCAGGAAGAUGUGCCUGACUUGACCCUGCAGUCAGAGUGAGGAGGAGGGUUGGCUGCCAGCCACUAGGGGAGGUGUGGGUGGAUGAAGGGUGAGGGUGUUAUACUGAAAAUCUUUAGGUUACCUUCAGUUUCUCCUUUGCUGCUAAGAUAUGUUCUCUGCAGUGUCUCAGAGCUUGGGAAGUCAGCCUGGGAACAGCUUAACGAUAAUCUAAGACCUAGAGGUGGGAAGAAAGAACUCAAGGGUGUCUUUCCUCAGAUACCUGCCUGCCUUUCUCACCAAGUUCCAGUCAACCCUGACUGCUUGCUGGUCUUCUCACCCAAACUCUCCCCUCAGAAUGUGAACCUGUAACUCUGCAUCCCCAGGAUCCCAGCAGACAGAAUCCAUUUUGGGUGGACACAGUCAGCUUAAGAUAUGACCCUAGUCCAAGUCUUGUUGCCUCUGAGAUCAUUCACAUGUUUCAGGGCUGAAGGUUUCCUUGGCUUGAUCCAUGGGCACCAGGCUCACUAGCACUUGGGUAACAGUAUCACAAGAGGUGUAACCCUUUACUUGCUUGAAAGAAGAACCAUCAGCGUGGCCUGGCAGCUGCAUUUACCUACAAACAAGGUGGGAUGAUUACAGUGUCAGCACAGACUAGCUCUGUUCAGAGAAGAAGCUUUUAGCUGGGAUCCUUGGGCUGAUCCCAGCUUUAGAAGAUUUCUGACUGCCAUCCAAUCACAUGUGAAUCUUUUGUGCGUGUGAUUGUGAACAUAUGUGCUUUUUUUUUUUUUUUUUUUUUUUUAGAAGAGGGUCUGUGGUUUUCAUCAGACUCCUGACAGAGUGCAGAGUCUGGAGUGCAGGGGACUUGAAUCCAUUCCUUGCUUCCUCUCUUUGUCAGCUGGCUGGGGGAGACAUUUAGGCUCUGUCCCCAUCUAUAUGGGGCUACUUUGAAGUCAGAGUGAGAAAUAUGGAUAAACUAUAAAGUUUGCAAACCACAGGCUACUCUUAUGGGCCUUCCCCUUUCCCUUCUCCCCUCCCUCCUCCCCUUACGUCCCGCUUCCCGGCUGAUUUCUAACUGUUCUUCAAGACUUCAUUCCAGGAACACUUCCAAAAAGCCUUUCUGGAUGCCCAGCUUGCUUCCUCUGCACGAGGUGCCCCUCUCUGUUCUCCAUCACUGAUCUCUAACAACACACAUUUGCCCUCAUUUACUUACUGCCCUUGUACCCAGGUGACGUGCUCCUUGAGGACAGAGAGGAUGGCUUGGUUGUUUUUCCUGCCCUGCAUAGUGUAGUUUGAACAUACUUUUGUUCCAUUGACAAAAAUGUUGGUUAAUUUAUUUUUAAAUUGUGCCUUAAUGAGCUAACGACGAAUCAUUUUUAUCUAUGCAUCAAAGGCAGACUUCCUUUUUUACUACAUGUAAAUGAAAGUGAUAAAAUGGAAUCCUUUAAGAGCAUCUUACUCCUGUCUAUUAGGUUGGCCUUCUAGCAAAUUAGUCUGAAUUAAUGAGGGCUCAUCUCCCUGUGUUGAGGGGAGCAAGGCAUAGCCAGUUGCCUGCAGUAGUCUGGCCAGGCGCUGUGCCAGCCACAGUGGCUGCCCUCCUCACUGGCAGGGCAGCCCACGCCUCUCCAGCUUAUCGCCUGUGGCACACGCUGCCAUCAAGAUGGACAGGUCUAGGGCUGAAGCUAUAUAACGUGAGAAAGUGCCCAAGCUGGCUUCAACUAGGAAGCACAUUACUGGGGCAUCAGGCUGACUCCAAGCUGAUCCCUGGGCCCCUGCAGGUACUGCUAUCUCCCAGAUCAUCCUGCACUCCUUUUCUUUGCUACUUGCCAGCAGAUUAUUCCAGGAGCUGUGAGGCUCUUCCUCCUGGUCUCUAGGGCUCCCCUCUAACUUGUCUCCUGCUCCUUUCCUAGGAAGUGCCCACCUUUUCCAUCCUGCCUGCUUUUAUUUCUAUUCCUGGAGGGAAAAAGGAAUUAUGGGCUUCCCACUGGUUCCAGCUCAGCUGGUAUUAGAUGUUGUGUAGACUGAUGUAAUGUUACCAAGGGGGAAAUUAUUAAAAAGAUGAGACUAAUUUUCUAAUUCACACCUGGAAAGCAAAUCUGAUGGCACUUGCAUAGAUCUUUAAUGAAAUAACAUUGUUUAAGAAGUUUCAAGAGAAAUUCAUCACUAAUUGAUUUGUGAACUGUGGAAAAAGAUAACAGAGAGAGAUGAGAUAUGAGCCACCGUCUGGCCUGCCUCCCCUGUAAACAAGCUUUUUAUUUCCUUAGUUCUCUUUCCCAUGGAAAAUCCACAGCAGCUUCCUGAAUUGGUAUUGCAAAAGGUAGGGCCCACGGAAAGGCCCACAUUUGCAUGUGAUGUUUUCUUUCUGCUUCAGUUUCCUUUUGUUUGGAUCUCACUGUGAGGUCUGGAUGAAAGCCAUGGGCUUCCAUCAUGAAGUUGGAAGUAAAGCUUUGUGACUCAAGUAAAAGGCAGUGAGUGGGAGAGGAUGUGAGAGCAGGUUGGGUGUCCUUUGAAGGGGCCGUUCUGUAGUUGCGACAUGGGGCGGGGCAUGGCUCUCCCUUUGUCCCCAGGGUCUUUUCAGACCUCCUGUAUCUCCUGGUGUGCAUCACUUAUAUACAUGUAUAUAUUCUUUGAUAGGCACUACUGACAUUUUCCUUAUCUUAUAUUUAGUAUUAAUAAAAGCAAUCUUAAAAUAAGAUUUUGUUUAUAGAAAUUGACCUGAAACAUGUGGUCCCAUUAAAAGCUGAAUGCCAACUAUGCAAAGCCAGCUCCAUGAUAAGAGACUCAGGCCCUCUUCAUACAAGUUGCCAUAUUUGCCUAUCUAUCUUCUUUUUAGAAUUUCAGAAUCCUGCAGCAGAGCUACCACAGAGGAGGGUUUCUGGGUUUUCUCAUCUUCCAGCUGAGUUUGUCUAUGGAUUUAAAGGAAUCAUGAUGGGGUUCCCGUGGUGGUGCAGAGGUAAUGAAUACAACUAGUAUCCAUGAAGACUCAGGUUUAAUCCCUGGCCUUAGUCAGUGGGUUAAAAAUCCGUCUUUCCUGUGAGCCAUGGUGUAGGUCGCAGAUGUGGCUUGGAUCCUAUGUAGCUGUGGCUGUGGCUGGCAGCUACAGCUCUGAUUUGACUCCUAGGCUGGGAAUUUCCAUAUGCUACCUGUGUGGCCCUAAAAAGACACACACACACACACA